AAUGAACGCUGGCGGCGUGCUUAACACAUGCAAGUCGAGCGAGAACGUCGACUUCGGUCGACUAGUACAGCGGCGAACGGGUGAGUAACACGUGGGCAACCUGUCUUGGAGUGGGGGAUAACCUGGGGAAACUCGGGCUAAUACCGCAUACGUUCUCGGCACCGCGGUGCCGAGAGGAAAGCUGGCCAAUUCUUGGAAGCUGGCGCUCUUUGAGGGGCCCGCGCCCGAUUAGCUUGUUGGUGGGGUAACGGCCCACCAAGGCUGCGAUCGGUAGCCGGCCUGAGAGGGUGAUCGGCCACACUGGGACUGAGACACGGCCCAGACUCCUACGGGAGGCAGCAGUGGGGAAUAUUGGACAAUGGGCGAAAGCCUGAUCCAGCAACGCCGCGUGGAGGACGAAGGCCUUCGGGUCGUAAACUCCUGUCAGUUGGGACGAAAAGCUGUCGGUCAAUAGCCGGCAGUCAUGACGGUACCAGCAGAGGAAGCCCCGGCUAACUCCGUG
rnacentral:rRNA from 1 species